AUUGAACGCUGGCGGCAGGCCUAACACAUGCAAGUCGAACGAGUGGCGGACGGGUGAGUAAUGUCUGGGAAACUGCCCGAUGGAGGGGGAUAACUACUGGAAACGGUAGCUAAUACCGCAUACCAUCGGAUUUCCCCAGAUGGGAUUAGCUUGUAGGUGAGGUAACGGCUCACUUAGGCGACGAUCCCUAGAUGGUCUGAGAGGAGGACCAGCCAAACUGGAACGGAGACACGGUCCAGACUCCUACGGGAGGCAGCAGUGGGGAAUAUUGCACAAUGGGCGAAAGCCGGAUGCAGCCAUGCCGCGUGUAUGAAGAAGGUCUUCGGGUUGUAAAGUACUUUCAGCGGGGAGGCGUUACCCGCAGAAGAAGCACCGGCUAACUCCGUGCCAGCAGCCGCGGUAAUUC
rnacentral:rRNA from 1 species